ensembl:lncRNA
GAAAAGGAGGCUGAGGGGAGACCUUAUUGUUCUCUACAACUGUCUCAAAGGAGGUUGCAGCAGGGUGGGGAAUGGUCUCUUCUCCCAAGCAACAAGUGAUAGGACAAAGAGAAAAUGGCCUCAAGUUGUGCCAGGGGAUGUUUAGGUUGGAUCUUAGGAGAAAUUUCUUUACUGAAAGGGUUUAGUGGCAUUGGAACAGGCUGCCCAGGGAAGUAGUUGAGUCAUCAUCCCCGGAGGUAUUCAAAAGAUGUGUAGAUAUGGUGCUUAGGAACAUGGUUUAGUGGUAGACUUGGUAGUGCUAGGUUGACAGUUGGACUUGAUGGUCUUGGAGGCCUUUUCCAACCUAAAUGAUUCUAUUAUUCUAUGAUUCUUCUCCAGUGCCUGGAGCACCUCCUCCCCAGCGCCUGGAGCACCUCCUCCCCAGCUGAAGCUGCCUGCCACCAAAACUUGCCAUGUAAACCCAAUAUAGCCACACACUAGAGGACCGAGUCUCAGACAAAGAAGAAAAUUCAAGUUGUAAACAUCGUACAGAUGAGGUCUUCUAUGAGAAACCACCUUUUUGCUUAAGGUCAGAAGUGCAAAAUUAUAAGAGACUGAGUACUUCACUACUGCAGAACCAUUUUCCUCCCCUUCCUCCCAGAGUGUACUUGUGUUCCAGUCUGCAGAGGGAAUGGCUGGUAGAUUUGAACUGGGAAUCUGUCUAUGGUAGUGUACAUGUAUAUGUAUGCAUGUCUGUCCGUCCAUAUUUUUUCUGUUCCCUUUUGUUAAUGCUAGCAAAAUUAUUUCAAUAAAGAUGUACCAUGGUGCCUAGUUUCAGAAACCUAUUUUGCUCCGAGGUGGUCAAAGGCUAUACCAGAAAGGUUUUAUUUAAAUCUAGUCAUAUUACUAUUUUACUCACUUAAAUAAUUUUUCUCCUACAUGAGCAUCCUAACCACUGUGCUCUAUCUGUAUAGAAUAUAUACAGCUUCUUCUAGAAGCACACUUCCAAGACAUAUGAGGAAAAAGUAAAGAUAAAGCUUUAUUCAUCUCUUUAGAAGUCCUAGAAUCAGUUUCUCUAAAUUUAUUUCAGACUGCUUUGUGACGUAAAAGGAAUAUGGAAACUACAUAUGCUAAAGGUUGGACUAGAUGAUCUUAGAGGUCUUUUCCAACCUGGUGGAUUCUGUGAUUCUCUACAGCAAAUGGUGCUUUGCUUAAUGAUGUGGAGACAAAAUAGAGGAUCUAUUUAACUUUAUCUAAACAUCUGGAAAAGCGUUGUCCAAAAAACAGCAAUAAGGUGUUAUAUUUUUAAGCUUGCUAAAACUCAGAAUUUCUUUUCUAUGGUAAAUCUCCACAUAUUUAGAACAACAAUAAUAACAAAGAACUAGCCUCUGGAGAUAUUAAGUGGGUGGAAGUUGGAGAGACAGGGCUGAUUCAAUGUCAGAAUAUCAGUGUCAAAAUAUAAUUUCAUAAAUCAAGCUGGUCUGCACCAGUUUGUGGAUAAUGUAGUUCAUGUUCGAUAAUGAAAUGUUUUGAAACAGAAAACGUUUUCAGAAUGAUAGCUGAAAAAUCUAAACACUGCAUUCCAAAAUUGUCCAAAUGUUCUUAGUGCUUCGUGUAAGACUUCAGAGCCAACUUGGUAAAAAUUGACAUACUGUUUCAGAAAUAUUAAUGGUGAUGAAAUGGCAUUUUUGGAAGACAAAUGCUUGGAAAACUUGAAAAUCUUUCAGUUAAGUUUACUGUGACUUAAUUGGACUUAACUACUGAUCUUUGAUCCCUGAGAUCCUGAGUAUCAACAGAAAUUAGAAGACACCU